CAGCAGCCGCGGUAAUACGAAGGGGGCUAGCGUUGUUCGGAUUUACUGGGCGUAAAGCGCACGUAGGCGGAUCCUUAAGUCAGAGGUGAAAUCCCAAGGCUCAACCUUGGAACUGCCUUUGAUACUGGGUGUCUUGAGUGUGAUAGAGGUAUGUGGAACUCCGAGUGUAGAGGUGAAAUUCGUAAAUAUUCGGAAGAACACCAGUGGCGAAGGCGACAUACUGGAUCAUUACUGACGCUGAGGCUCGAAAGCGUGGGGAGCAAACAGGAUUAGAUACCCCUGUAGUCCCUGUCUCUUAUAC
rnacentral:rRNA from 1 species